UACGUAGGGGGCAAGCGUUGUCCGGAAUUAUUGGGCGUAAAGAGCUCGUAGGCGGUGUGUCACGUCGAUCGUGAAAACUUACAGCUUAACUGUGAGCGUGCGGUCGAUACGGGCAUCACUGGAGUUCGGCAGGGGAGACUGGAAUUCCCGGUGUAGCGGUGAAAUGCGCAGAUAUCGGGAAGAACAACCGUGACGAAGGCGGCUCUCUGGGACGGUACUGACGCUGAGACGCGAAAGCGUGGGGAGCGAACAGG
rnacentral:rRNA from 1 species